AUCUCUCUCUCUCUCUCUCUCUCUCUCUCUCUCUCUCUUUCUCUCUCCCUCAAUCUCGCUUUCUCUCUUUCUCUCAAUCUCGUGUUCUCUCUCCUUUGAUCUUCUCAAAUUAGCACCUCUACUAUACAUGUAUAUGUACCUCUAUAUAUUAUGUAUAUGUUGUAAAUAGCAAUGUUUGAAAUUGAAUUUAUUCUGUUGAGGUCCGAGCAAGAAUCGAAGUAGACGUCCUCAACUUCCUCAAGAUCUUGAACUCUUCGACUCCGACAAUCUCAUAUUUCUUUGGUUUGCAAUUUUGCUUCAAAUCUCUACUCUCGAAAUGUGUAUAUAUAUAUAUAUAUAUGUGCGUGUGUGUUUUUGUGUUAAGCAUUGAGUCACUGUUGAUUUUAAUUUGACAAAUUUGGGGUUUUUUGAGUGUGUUAUAGAUCAAUAGAAGAUGAAAUAAUAGCUGAGGGUUUGUUGACUGAUGUUUCGUGGAUUUUUCUUUCUCACUCAUUUUGCACGGGUCUUUGAUGAGAGUUAACUAACACUGCUGAAUCUUUCAUUAGAGGUAAUAAUAGGAUCAUCAUCAUCUCUUUCUCAUUUGCCUUCUUAAUCAAUCUCUUGAAAAGUACACAUUGCCUCAGCAUAUGUAUCCUUCAAUUUAGGCUAUUAGGUUUUUUGGCCAUUCCAUUAAUGUUUCUUUUCUUCAAUUUAGUAUAAAUUAGGCUUGUGUGUUGUUGGUUGUGAUGAAUUGUUUAUUGUUUAUGUUGAAUUAGUGCUUUGCUUUGUGUUUUGGAUACUUAAUUAGGCUCUUUUUUUUUUCUUUAUUUAUUUAUUUAUUUUGUGUUUUGAAUGUCCAAUAAGGAUGUCAAUUUUAGGAUUCUGUUUUCAGUGUGAUUUGAUUAGCAAAAGAGAAUGGGAUCUCUUAUAAGCCAGAUCAAAUUGUAUGAGUAUGCUGUUUGAUUACCAUGUUUUGUGUUGUUAAAUGAAUAUUUAACUUUUUAUGAAGUCAAUUGAUAAGUGAUAAUGGCUUCAAAGUCCUUUUAAAGAAAAAAAAUAUGCAGUAACGUUGUUGACAUCAAAAAAUCAAUACUAAGUCCUUAUCUCUUUUUGCGUUAGUUAUAAAUGAAUCAAUUAGAAACAUUCAAAGAGGAUAUCGUAUUAUUUGUAGACAACAUAGUUUUAGUUGAUGACAUAAGAGGAGUAAACUUUAAUCUAGAAUCGUGGAGAGAGAAUUUAUAAUCUAAAGAAUUUAAGUUAAGCUGGAUUAAGAUAAUAGUUUGCACACUGCUUCAGGAUUGAAGUCCUAUUCCUCCACUUGAUAAAUCUUAUUUUGUUUGAGCACUCUAUUUCAGGGGAAAGUGAACCCUACUCAGUGUGAGGCCUUUACUAUGGUUUGCACUCAGGCUUUUUUAAUUUAUUGAUAUCAGGUAGAGCAUUGGAAGAAAUUAGAGGUGCUCUGUACAGUGAAAUUCGAACUUCAGAAGGUGCUAAGCGCCAACAACAACGUCUUUGUGGGCCGGUUGUGGCGAUGACCUUCAAUUUUAUGGUUGCUGUUGGAAUCAUUAUGGCAAACAAAUUAGUCCGUAAUCCUUCUUUUUCCUCUUAUUUGUGGUGAUUUUUUCUUUUUUCUUUUUUUUUUUGUUCUUUUUUAGAUUCAAGGUAAAUGCAUUGUUAGACUUGAGUAAUUAUACAACCAUAAAAUCAUUAGCACGUUUGGUAUUGUUUUCAUUUUUUUGUUUUGUUCUCGAAAACAGGAAAACAGAAAAACGUAAAUGGAUACAAAAAAACUUAUUUGGCAAAUUGUUUCUGAAACUGUCUUUUGGAUUGUUUUCUAAAUUUUUGAAACUUGUUUUCACAUAAAAAUAUAUAUGAUGGGCGUUUUUAACUUUUCAUUGUUUUUGUUUAAAAAAAACACGAAAACUGAAAGCAAUAACAUACAGGGCUGCAGCAUUGUUCAAUCAAACUAACACCAAACUUCAUGUCUAAUUUCAGGUAAUGGGGAAAGUUGGUUUCAAUUUCCCAAUAUUUCUCACGUUAAUCCACUACACUUCCGCUUGGGUUCUACUCGCGAUUUUCAAAGCAUUUUCAUUGCUUCCAGCCUCUCCUCCUUCCAAAAAAUUUCUGAUUAAAUUUUCAAAGCAAAAAAUUUAAUAUAAUGAAUGUGUUUUCUGAUUAAAUUUUUUAUUUGCAGGAAGCAUUUUGUUUUAAUUACUGUAAUAUAUUUUUGCACGUGGAGGGCUAUAUAUAUAUAUAUAUAUAAAGUCAUUUUCUCAAUUUUUGUCUCUCUAUCUUCUCACUCUUUUAGGACAAAAAAAAAUAUCUGUAUAUACAAAUAUGGCACACCCAGAUGUUAAUGUUUGUUUUUUUUAGGAUGGAUUAUGUAUUAACUUUCUGGCUGUCUAUUUUGAUUUUCAUAAUAUUCAAUCUUAUGUUUUUACAAUUAAUGGCUGAUAAAUGUUAAUGAACUUCUUUUGUAAUAUGGAAUGGUGACUUUUCAAAUGUUUGAUCUUCAUUCAAUGGAAAUUUGCUAUUUCUGCAAGUCUAUUGGCAGCUCUCAUCUUUGUCUCUCUCCCACUCAUUUCCAUUAUGGUUUGAUGAUAGAGGUAUGUUCUUUUCCUAUGUUACUUGGGUUAUGUGUGAAAUAAAUUCUGAACGUACAUAAAUUUGGUUAAUUUAUAUGAUAAAUCAAUAAAUGGUGGUUUGAUUCACUAGUAAUUGACAAGGUUUUGAAUUAGCAUUGCAAGUUAUACGAUCUACUAGUGGAUUUUUCAGUUGUAUGGACCCCUUUUGAUUGCUUGGACAUUCAUUAUGAGCUCCUGUGCUUGGAGGGAUGCCAUAGCCUCCAGGUUUGCAGUCCUCUGUUGGUUCUCUUGUGAUAUACUUAUCAGGAUAAUGAUGCUAAAAUGUCACAGUAAUUAAUAAUCAUGGCAUGUGCUCUGAUUAGUUUUCUAGGAGAAUGACUUCCAAGCCAGACCUUGAUUGUACUGUUGUGACUUGAAGCUUGUUUUUAUAUCAAAUAUAUCCUUGUUUGUGAUAGCACCUUUGGAAGUUUAGUGCUUGAGAGAAUUGUUUCCCUGAUUUUUCUCUAUUUUAUAUGUUUUUUUUCUCAUUUUUUUUGGUUUUGGUUCUACUUUCUACUACCAUAUGUCAUUUGCCUGUCCAUGGUUAGAAACAUCCUUCACCCUUAUUAGUUUACCUUCGUCUGACUGUUUUUGGAACCUGCAUGUCAUUCAUAAAAUUUUAUAAGUAACUCUUUUUU